AUUGAACGCUGGCGGCAUGCCUUACACAUGCAAGUCGAACGGUAACGCGGGGCAACCUGGCGACGAGUGGCGAACGGGUGAGUAAUGCAUCGGAACGUGCCCAGUAGUGGGGGAUAGCCCGGCGAAAGCCGGAUUAAUACCGCAUACGACCUAUGGGUGAAAGCGGGGGAUCGCAAGACCUCGCGCUAUUGGAGCGGCCGAUGGCAGAUUAGCUUGUUGGUGGGGUAAAAGCCUACCAAGGCGACGAUCUGUAGCUGGUCUGAGAGGACGACCAGCCACACUGGGACUGAGACACGGCCCAGACUCCUACGGGAGGCAGCAGUGGGGAAUUUUGGACAAUGGGCGCAAGCCUGAUCCAGCCAUGCCGCGUGCGGGAAGAAGGCCUUCGGGUUGUAAACCGCUUUUGUCAGGGAAGAAACGGUCCAAUCUAAUAAAUUGGACUAAUGACGGUACCUGAAGAAUAAGCACCGGCUAACUACGUGCCAGCCGCCGCGGUAAUAC
rnacentral:rRNA from 1 species